CUUGGUAGAAAUGCCAGAGCGAGCAAGAAAAAGUUGAUGGCUUUGACCACUAAUGUUAUGAGAGAUGAUAGUGAUAAGGGCCUUGGAUUACAAGUUAUGAAAUAUUUGGCUGCCAAAUAUGAAGAGCUAGGGUGUGAAGUGAAAUGGAUGGGCAAGCCUGAUAAGGUGAUCUAGUCACAUUGGUCUGGUUACCGCUGUUAACUUCACUUCAUGUGAACCUUUAGCUUAAUACAUAUUUCUCUUGCACUUGACUACCAAGAUGAAUUUUGAGCAAGGCUACUUUUUGCUUUGAAGCAAA